rnacentral:tRNA from 1 species
GGGGGCUGUGGCUCAGUGGCAGAACAGCUGCUUGGCAGGCAGAAGGUCCCAGGUUCAAUCCCCAGCAUCUCCA